UCCGAAUCAAAGAGAACACGUGAGCCCUUUCGUGAGUCGGGAGAAAGGUAGCAACCUUUAGGGAUGAAGGGAAAGGGACGCAGUUCCAUACCUCUCCCUCUUGCCCAGACAGGUCACGGUCUCCGAAGAUAAGCCAAGGGCUAGGAGCCGUGGGGGUGAGCCACCACUGGAGACUGCUGCGCGCGGUCGGGGAGAUCAGCUCCUAGAUUGAAAGAAACAAUGAUGAAUCGUUUUAUUUUGAGCAGCCCAGCGUUAACCAUCUCUGCAAAACUGGCUCCAGAAGGUGGAAUG